rnacentral:sRNA from 1 species
CAAAUACAAAUCAAUAAGCCAUAGACAGCAGGUGUUAACACCUUAAUUUCCUGCCGAGGCUAAGAAAGUAAAAACUUAAAAUUAAGUAAAAGUUAAAAAUGUCUAAUUUUUAAUUUUUAAUCUCUAAUU